UGUAUGAAAGACUUUAUUAACUAAUAUGAAGUCAGAUAUUAGGGGCAGGCACUGAGGUAUAUCUAUGGGGGCAAGUAGGUGCCUGUAUAGAGACCAUUAUAGACUAAUGUGUAGUAAGAGAUUAGGGGCAGGCACUGAGGUAUUACUAUGGGGCAAGUAGGUGCCUGUAUAGAGAAUAUUAUAGACUAAUGUGUAGUAAGAGAUUAGGGGCAGGCACUGAGGUAUUACUAUGGGGCAAGUAGGUGCCUGUAUAGAGACCAUUAUAGACUAAUAUAUAGUAAGAGAUUAGGGGCAGGCACUGAGGUAUUACUAUGGGGCAAGUAGGUGCCUGUAUAGAGACCAUUAUAGACUAAUGUGUAGUAAGAGAUUAGGGGCAGGCACUGAGGUAUUACUAUGGGGCAAGUAGGUGCCUGUAUAGAGACCAUUAUAGACUAAUAUAUAGUAAGAGAUUAGGGGCAGGCACUGAGGUAUUACUAUGGGGCAAGUAGGUGCCUGUAUAGAGACCAUUAUAGACUAAUGUGUAGUAAGAGAUUAGGGGCAGGCACUGAGGUAUUACUAUGGGGCAAGUAGGUGCCUGUAUAGAGAAUAUUAUAGACUAAUGUGUAGUAAGAGAUUAGGGGCAGGCACUGAGGUAUUACUAUGGGGCAAGUAGGUGCCUGUAUAGAGACCAUUAUAGACUAAUGUGUAGUAAGAGAUUAGGGGCAGGCACUGAGGUAUUACUAUGGGGCAAGUAGGUGCCUGUAUAGAGACCAUUAUAGACUAAUGUGUAGUAAGAGAUUAGGGGCAGGCACUGAGGUAUUACUAUGGGGCAAGUAGGUGCCUGUAUAGAGACCAUUAUAGACUAAUGUGUAGUAAGAGAUUAGGGGCAGGCACUGAGGUAUUACUAUGGGGCAAGUAGGUGCCUGUAUAGAGACCAUUAUAGACUAAUGUGUAGUAAGAUAUUGGGGGCAGGCACUGAGGUAUUACUAUGGGGCAAGUAGGUGCCUGUAACAGAAUAUUAUAGACUAAUGUGUAGUAAGAGAUUAGGGGCAGGCACUGAGGUAUUACUAUGGGGCAAGUAGGUGCCUGUAUAGAGACCAUUAUAGACUAAUGUGUAGUAAGAUAUUGGGGGCAGGCACUGAGGUAUUACUAUGGGGCAAGUAGGUGCCUGUAACAGAAUAUUAUAGACUAAUGUGUAGUAAGAGAUUAGGGGCAGGCACUGAGGUAUUACUAUGGGGCAAGUAGGUGCCUGUAUAGAGACCAUUAUAGACUAAUGUGUAGUAAGAGAUUAGGGGCAGGCACUGAGGUAUUACUAUGGGGCCAAGUAGGUGCCUGUACAGAGACCAUU